rnacentral:rRNA from 1 species
GGAAACCUUGUUACGACUUCACCUUCCUCUAAAUGAUAAGGUUUAGACAAGUUCUCGCAACAUGCACCGAGGCACACAUCACAAUCUCGAGGCUUCACCGGACCAUUCAAUCGGUAGGUGCGAC